rnacentral:lncRNA from 1 species
GACGUGGCCCUCACGUGAGCAGGAGCCGACGUGUGCAAACGUCCUUCUAACACUGGUCUUCCUUAGGUCUGUUUGUGAUCUCCCCGUUAUUGCUUUAGAGAACCAGCUGGCUGCGGUGGAGGGAAGGAGGAGGAGGAGGUAACUGCCUGAAUCCCAGCAGGCCUGUCCAACCCUAACAGCAGGAAGGAGAGAAUUUGUCCAGAUCCAAAUCUACAGGACUGAGUGCACUUGGAUGCUACAAAGAGAAAAAAGCAAUUGCACCAACCCCUGCUUGUGUAUUGAGGACACCACUGCCCCAAGACAUCUGGUCCCCCUGUAUCAGCAGUUGCAACAUCGACUGCCCUCAGCAGCUGAAGACUUCACCUUCUAUUUGGAAGAAUUUUUCUGGGCCAGAGGAAGCCUGCUCUGUGCUGGGUUAAG